GGCCGGGGCGCUAUUGUUCUGCAGCGUCACCGCGGGCCGAGCCCGGAGCCCGGCAUCCGGCGGCCGCGCUCGGGAGCCCGUGUAAAAUGGCCCUCACGCCGCCUUUUCCGGGCUGCGGGGGCGGGAGGGACCGCGGAGACGGGCCUGGCCUGGCAGCCAAUCCGCGGCCGCCGCCGCCAGCGCAAAGUUGUUACCCCCGGCCGCCGCCGCCGCCGCCGCCGCCGCCUCCCGGUCAUCUCCGGCCGGAUCGCUCCGAUUUCCCCCAAACGCCCACGGAUCCCGGGGAGCUCCCCCUCCAGCCCGCGAUCAUGGAAGAAAGUCGGACUUCUCAUUUGCCACAUAUUCCAAAGAUGUUCGGGGAUCCAUAUGCUGCCUGCAGGCUGCUGCUGGUGGGGACUCAAGUAUCCGGUCUAUAUUGUUACAAUUAUUUCUCCAGAACUGGCUGCUUCUUUGCCUUCCACUCAUGGUUGCCCUCUCCCAUGAAGACCCAAUUCUUCUACCAUCUCAUCCCUGUUACCAGUUGGAACAUCAGUCGUCCUCAGAGCCAGAUCACAUGCCGUCUCCCCAUCAAGUCUGAUCCACCCACCUGGAGCUGACUGCUUUCUUUCCCAACUCUGAGCAGGCAUGUCACCAUCCUGCCUUGUCCUGGUCACUUUAUUAACUGGGGAUUCCUUUAUCGGUAUCUUAUUUGUGUCCCCUACAAUGAUGCUCCUGCGUGUUGCCUAGUUAUUCAGUAACUGACAUGAAUCAAAACUAUUUGAAAUACAGCUGGUCCCAUCCCAACCAAAAGUUUCCCUUUGAGGAAAGGUGUGCAGCUUUACACACCGAGAAUUUCACGUCACCCUGGUUGGGGAUACUUAGGAAAAAGAGGGAACUUUAAGUUGGGAAAAGAAAAAGUGAAAGACGGUGCAGGAUUAACCAUUUUUGCAAGGGGCCUGAGGGAAGCUCAACUGGAGCCUUCAUUGCUACACUUCUGCCCCACAGGAGGGAGGGACGUGAACUGAAUGUAAGAGGCUUGGGACUCCAGCCUUCGCAUCUUUGGGAAGCAAUUAGGACCUGCAGGUCAGAAAUCCAGGGCACUGAGAUGGAUGGGGAACCAGUGCAGAAAGGAAGUAUCUCCUGACAGGCACCUCACCUGCAAAAGGCAAGCUUAAUGUGUAAGCAUCUCUCUGAAUCCGCCAUGGAGGGUGAGUCUAGAAUUUCUGGAAAACAAGGAACCUGGUUGUAUAGUGCCCAUUCUUACUAGUAUGGGAUAUGGAAAACGUUAUCUGUAGGCUGUUAUUUUAAUGAAGGCUUAAGAAAAAAAAAAUAUUCAUUUUCUUGGUGGUUCCCUCAUGACCUAACACUGAAUUUUAGUUCAUAGGCUUUUCAAUCAACCAAAUUCUACUACUAGGAUUUUCAGAAAUCUAAUGCAGUAGGCUGGGGGAGGACUACUGUACUAAAGUUCAGCCCGUAUUUUCAGAACUGUUACACUUGCCUAGGCAGAUGUCACGGUCCACGGUGUGGUGGUCAUUCUUGAGGAUCUCGGAAUAUGAGACACUGUCAGGGGUCUGAGCCUUUGCACACGCUGCUUCUCUGGCCCAAGAUACGUUUCUUCCCUUUAUUGUUGGCAAGGUUAACCCAUAUUUACCCUGUGUGGCUUUUACUCCGAUAUCAUCUCCUCCAAAAAGCCUUCCCUGAAUGCUUUCAUUAGAGCCACUCCCCACGGAUCAGGUGCCACUCCUGCCUGGUCCCAAAUAGCCCUGAGCUUUCAGUUGCCACCCACGGGUCCUGCUCCCACUGUGUCAGCUCCUCCAGGAGCUCCCCUGGGUGCUAAGUAAUUAACAACAUUCUUAGAGGGCUCUGAGGUCUCAAUGAAUGUUUGCUCAUUGAACAAAUGCAUCGCCCUGAUACGGGAGACAUAGAUGACAGUCCAUCUGCCCCACAGAGGGGCGUUGUCCCUGUGAAGUUUCAGGAUCGUUUUGGAGAACUGCAGUCCGUGUUCUCCUUGUCUCCCUCCACCCGGUAGAGUGGUAGCCAAACCAGCCUGAAAGAUAGCACUUGGCCUCUAUGCCUUAAGCUAAUAACAGUUCCUGUCCAACCCAGUAUUUAAGAAUAGUGAUUAUUUUUUACUAUGUAUUCCCCACGGAGAAAAGCAGACGUACAAAACGUUUGUAUCUUGGCGAAUAUUUGAAAUUUUGCUGCCAAAUCUGUUAAACCCACCCCAACAGUCUUUCUGAUUUUUAAAAUAUUUUA
rnacentral:lncRNA from 1 species